GUGAAACACACUUAGUUCAUCUGUCUCGUUGGCGGACAUCCACUCCUUGGACUUGGGCACCCCGUGGCAGCUGGCGCACACUCGUUUGUGGAAUGGUAUGGCUUUGCCCGUGCGAAGGAACUCCUGUAGCUCUGUCUUGUCGUGUGGCACUGGGGAGUUCUCUUCCACCUCGAAGAUGGCCAAUGGAAAUACUCUGUAAUGUGCAAUAGAUGUUAGAUCUCAAUCACAAGGUCUUUCUGUCAAGGAACUGAAGGCAACUCACCUGGGUGCCUUGCGUCUCAAGUACUGUUCGUUGCGAGCAAUCAUCUCGAGAAACUUCUUGACCAGACCCGGGUUCGGAUACAGCUCGAUGUCUGAAGCCAGAAUAAAGUGGGUGCCCGGAGCUGACGUUGAAGUACGGAGGUGGAAGUGUGCAGUUGUAUCCCGUCUUGAAGACUUCGUGAGGCUUGGGCACAGACUUAGGAAUGUGCUUGGUUCCGAAGUAGAUGUGGAAGGUGGUAUAGGCGCGCACCAGGUGACUGCCGGGCAGACACUCUCGCAGAUACCGGAUCGAGUCCAGAGUGGGCUGGAAGUCCGUGCCGGGCGCGUGCAUGGCAAUGCUCACCGGGGCGUUCCAGCGCUCCAACAGCGGCACCAGGUUGUCCAGGAACGUGUAGUCCGCGUGCGUGGUGUAGGUGAUCGACUCAUGGCACUUGAUGUCGCCAUGCUCCGCCCGCACGUAGUUCUGCAGCACCCAGAAGUCGCCACGCUGCAAGGUCUGUUGGUGGUAGUCGUGGUCGAAGCAGUUGAUCAACGAUCGCACACGCUCCUCCAGCUCCUUCUCAUCGCCUGUGACUAUGUAGCCGCCGUCAGACUGGCUAUUGUUCACCUCGGCGACACCGCCGGGCCCAAUGUUUCCUAUCACCUGGGAGGGAUCGCCCAGAGCAGCCGCCCCGGCACCACUAUCGUUCGCCAACUGCGGGGCUCCAGCACCGCCAUCAGCCACCUGAGCCGCUGCUGCUGGAGGAUCUGCGUUGGCAUUGACCAGCUGCUUUUCCUCGGACUCGAAGAUCUCGGCCACCUGCUAAAGAGGAAACGAGGCGUUAGUUCCAAAGUUCGCUUGAGCAUUAUCUAGAUGUAUCUUACGUUCUGGUUCUUGGGAGUGGGCUGCUGUUGCUGCUGCACCUGGGCCGCUGAUGAGGCGGAGCCCACUUGCAUCAUUGACACCUGUUGCUGCUCCUGCAGCAGGAAGCCACCGCCGUUCGAGAAGUUGUUGCCGCCGCCGAUCAUCAAUUGACUGCCAAUGUACAGGAUCACCGCCACAUUGAUAAGGAUGCUGCAGCGCAACAACCAAUUGCGGCGGGUGAACAUUUUCUGGCCCAGAGGCUCAAAACGCAUGUUGUAGCUGCAAAAAAAAAUUAACAUUAAAAUAUAUGUUCAUUUGUAAAACAUGAUUUGAAAAACAACAGAUGCGCGAAACUAAAAUCAUGUCCAUGCUAGCAUGUAGAUAUCCAUGUAGAAAACAUGUAGUUCUACAGCAGCGCCCUCUCACAGAUUUAAAAGAAACACCCUUUACGGUAGAUGGCGUUAUUCAAAGGUUUGAGAAUUCAUAAGUUUGAAAGUCAUUGCUGGCCUUAUGCUAGAAAAUUGAGCCGUGAUAACAGAAUUUAAAUUAAACUAUUUAUAUUUUUUAUGAAUAAACUCGCACAGAUUUAUUGUGUACUUAGAAAAGU
ensembl:ncRNA asRNA:CR31912 antisense RNA:CR31912